GCAUAUCAAUAAGCGGAGGAAAAGAAACCAACAGGGAUUGCCCUAGUAACGGCGAGUGAAGCGGCAACAGCUCAAAUUUGAAAUCUGGCUCUCUUUGGGGGUCCGAGUUGUAAUUUGCAGAGGAUGCUUUGGCAUUGGCGGCGUUCUAAGUUCCUUGGAACAGGACAUCACAGAGGGUGAGAAUCCCGUACGUGGUCGCCUGCCUUUGCCGUGUAAAGCUCCUUCGACGAGUCGAGUUGUUUGGGAAUGCAGCUCUAAAUGGGAGGUAAAUUUCUUCUAAAGCUAAAUACCGGCCAGAGACCGAUAGCGCACAAGUAGAGUGAUCGAAAGAUGAAAAGUACUUUGGAAAGAGAGUCAAAAAGCACGUGAAAUUGUUGAAAGGGAAGCGCUUGCAGCCAGACUUGCCCGCAGUUGCUCACCUAGGCUUUGGCCUGGGGCACUCUUCUGCGGGCAGGCCAGCAUCAGUUUGGGCGGUUGGAUAAAGGCCUCUGUCACGUAUCUCCCUCCGGGGUGACCUUAUAGGGGAGGCGUAAUGCAACCAGCCCGGACUGAGGUCCGCGCAUCUGCUAGGAUGCUGGCGUAAUGGCUGUAAGCGGCCCGUCUUGAAACACGGACCAAGGAGUCUAACAUCUAUGCGAGUGUUUGGGUGUCAAGCCCGGGCGCGCAAUGAAAGUGAACGGAGGUGGGAACCCUUUGGGUGCACCAUCGACCGAUCCUGAUGUCUUCGGAUGGAUUUGAGUAAGAGCAUAGCUGUUGGGACCCGAAAGAUGGUGAACUAUGCUUGAAUAGGGUGAAGCCAGAGGAAACUCUGGUGGAGGCUCGCAGCGGUUCUGACGUGCAAAUCGAUCGUCAAAUUUGGGCAUAGGGGCGAAAGACUAAUCGAACCAUCUAGUAGCUGGUUCCUGCCG
rnacentral:rRNA from 1 species